AAGUCUAUUUAAUUAUUUUACUAUACAAUGACUGUCAACUGAACUUCGCUUAGAAUCGUUUUUUUCGUAAGCAACGGUCUAUCGUCGAUCACGGGUAUACAUUAAAUUGUCUAUAACAAUGGCUGUACCCGAUCCCGUUAUCUUAGGAGGACGUCUUUUUUAUUACACACCUAAAGUGUCACGUAAACACCCAUCGAGUUCAUAUCCGCCUAAUCUGAUCAUAUGGGGCACAGCUGCUUCAUAUAGGAUACCCAAUAGCCAUCACUCACGCGUCACCACUGAAAAUGUUUGGCGAGCUUGCGAUGGAUUUCGGUAUGCUGAACCUAUCUAAUAUUAACUAUAUAAGUAGUCGUUUACAUUAUAUAUUAUACACAGGUUUGAAUUUUGUCAGAAAAUUACGGUUGUUUGGAUUGUAUUUGUUUAGGGCCGGAUUUGCGUCACGACAAUGAAAACUCGACGUUGUUAUAUAUCGGAAAAUGUAUAAAUCCCGUUAGUUUGUUUAUGUUUGCCGUUUGCUUUUCGCUGUCGCUAUCGACAUUUUUAGAUGGUAUAUUAUUGUGAAAAUCGACGGCGACUGCUGCGUAA